rnacentral:rRNA from 1 species
UACGUAGGGGGCAAGCGUUGUCCGGAUUUAUUGGGCGUAAAGAGCUCGUAGGCGGUUUGUCGCGUCGAAUGUGAAAACCCGGGGCUCAACCCCGGGCCUGCAUUCGAUACGGGCAGACUAGAGUUCGGUAGGGGAGUCUGGAAUUCCUGGUGUAGCGGUGAAACGCGCAGAUAUCAGGAGGAACACCGGUGGCGAAGGCGGGACUCUGGGCCGAUACUGACGCUGAGGAGCGAAAGCGUGGGGAGCAAACAGG